AAGUGGCUGCCACACUUUGUCGACAGAAAGAGCGAGACUUCGGCCCCGCAGAGACGCGGGGCGAGGGGACGAAGGGCUCCGGUGACGGUCCAGCCUGGUGUCGGUAAGGCGUGCGCGCUUGCAGGCAUUUUAGGACCUGGGAGUUCUGGAAGGGAAGCCGCCGCGCCGAGCCAGGCCUGUUCCGGAGCCUCGUCUCCCUCCGUCACAGGCACUGGGGGCCGCGAUUAUCUCGGCGCUGGACUGGAGGCUGCUCCAAAAAAGCAAAACACAAAAGGGCUUUUCUCACCUUUUUUAGCAGUUCGAUGCGAACUGCGUGAAUAGGAAUAGUUUUUGUACCUAAGUUUUUUUUUUUUUAAAGAUCUUAUUUAUUUAUUCAUGAGAGACAGAGAGAGAGAGAGGCAGAGACACAGGCAGAGGGAGAAGCAGGCUCCAUGCAGGGAGCCCGACGUGGGACUCGAUCCCGGGACUCCAGGAUCACACCCCGGGCCAAAUGCAGGCGCUAAACCACUGAGCCACCCAGGGAUCCCUAUAGAUUUUCUUUGUUCGUGAGAGACACAGAAGAGAGGCAGAGACACAGGCAGAGGGAGAAGCAGGCUCCAUGCAGGAGUCCGACGUGGGACUCCAUCUGGGGUCUCCAGGAUCAAGCCCUGGGCCGAAUGUGGCGCUAAACCUCUGAGCCACCCGGGCUGCCCCUCACUGAUGUUUUCCAUUCAUUUUCUCUCCUUUCCCCUUUAUUCCCUUUCACUAUUUCUUAUACUCCCUGAAUUAAUGAACAUGUAAUGUUUGUCCUUC